GGAGAGGUGACCGAGCUGGCCGAAGGUGCACGACUGGAAAUCGUGUGUACGGCACAACCGUACCGUGGGUUCGAAUCCCACCCUCUCCG
rnacentral:tRNA from 1 species